rnacentral:rRNA from 1 species
AUUGAACGCUGGCGGCAUGCUUUACACAUGCAAGUCGAACGGUAACAGGGUGCUUGCACCGCUGACGAGUGGCGAACGGGUGAGUAAUGCGUCGGAACGUGCCGAGUAGUGGGGGAUAACGCAGCGAAAGUUGUGCUAAUACCGCAUACGUACUGAGGUAGAAAGUGGGGGACCUUCGGGCCUCACGCUAUUCGAGCGGCCGACGUCUGAUUAGCUAGUAGGUGAGGUAAAGGCUCACCUAGGCGACGAUCAGUAGCGGGUCUGAGAGGAUGAUCCGCCACACUGGGACUGAGACCCGGCCCAGACUCCUACGGGAGGCAGCAGUGGGGAAUUUUGGACAAUGGGCGAAAGCCUGAUCCAGCCAUGCCGCGUGUCUGAAGAAGGCCUUCGGGUUGUAAAGGACUUUUGUCGGGGAGGAAAUCCCCAGCGCUAAUACCGCUGGGGGAUGACAGUACCUGAAGAAUAAGCACCGGCUAACUACGUGCCAGCAGCCGCAGUAAUAC